CACCUUCUAAUUGUAGACUCCACCCCUAGGACUUCCCUGAAGAGAGGACACAUCUGAAGAGCCUGGUUUAAAGGCAGCUAGCUGGAAUAUGCUCACUGAGCAAAGUAGGACAAGGAGCAUGCAGACUCAGCAGGGCACUCUUGUGUGCUACAUCACCAGGGUGCAAUCCUUUGGUGCUCACCACAUCCUCAAAUGGUCACUGAUGAGAUGCACGGAUAAUGGGUUACAAAGACAGACAUUAAUAAGGGCUGUAGAUUCACCGAACAACUGAGAGAUCAUAUGGCUUUUCAGUGCUCCCUUCAUUCCCUCUGCUUUCCAAAAGGGAGAAUCCUGCACCAGCUCAGGAGGAGUUUCACCCCUACUGCUCAGCGCUUCAG
rnacentral:lncRNA from 1 species